GAGUUUGAUCUUGGCUCAGAUUGAACGCUGGCGGCAGGCCUAACACAUGCAAGUCGAGCGGCAGCGCGGGGCAACCUGGCGGCGAGCGGCGGACGGGUGAGUAACGCGUAGGAAUCUACCCAGUAGCGGGGGAUAGCCCGGGGAAACUCGGAUUAAUACCGCAUACGCCCUAAGGGGGAAAGCAGGGGAUCUUCGGACCUUGCACUAUUGGCAGAGCCUGCGUUGGAUUAGCUAGUUGGUAGGGUAAAGGCCUACCAAGGCGACGAUCCAUAACUGGUCUGAGAGGAUGAUCAGUCACACCGGAACUGAGACACGGUCCGGACUCCUACGGGAGGCAGCAGUGGGGAAUAUUGGACAAUGGGGGCAACCCUGAUCCAGCCAUGCCGCGUGUGUGAAGAAGGCCUUCGGUU
rnacentral:rRNA from 1 species